GACAGGGUAAAUCUCGGCCCUCCAAAACAAAUCCAACGGCUGAGAUUCGUCCAUGUCAUCACGAGUAAAAAUUUUACUCCCAGUAAAACGUUUACUCCUGAAAUUUUACUCCCUGUAAAACGUUUACUCCUAAAAUUUUACUCCUAGUAAAUUUUUUACUCCUGAGUAAAUCUGCGAGUAAAAUUUUUACUAGUGAUGAUGUGGACGAAACUCAGCUGUUGGAUUUAUUUUGGAGGGCCUAGAUUCACCCUAUG
rnacentral:pre_miRNA from 1 species